rnacentral:lncRNA from 1 species
GUAACCUUGGCAGCACGGGCUUCUGAUACUUCCCAUCUCACCUCCUUUUGAUUCACCUACUAGAGGUUGAUGCCUGGACCAUAGAUAGCAUAGAUCUUCCAGAGCCCUGAACCAGCUACCGAUGGUGUGCAUGGCACACAGACCCUCCCAAUGGCCCCAGAAGCUGUUCCAUAUGAUUGAGGCCAGAGAAGAUUUAAGGGAAGUGAGAUCAAUUGAAGCUCCAAAGUACGUUGAGACUGACUGUCUCCAGGCAGCUGUCAGGUCUGAACACCAAGAGCUAUGUGGGAUUCCAGAAAUUCAGAGCCACACUGCAUGCUGGCCCAAGGUCAUUAAACAGAAUAAUCUGUAG